rnacentral:rRNA from 1 species
UACGGGGGGGGCAAGCGUUGUUCGGAAUUACUGGGCGUAAAGGGCUCGUAGGUGGCCAACUAAGUCAGACGUGAAAUCCCUCAGCUUAACUGGGGAACUGCGUCUGAUACUGGAUGGCUUGAGUUUGGGAGAGGGAUGCGGAAUUCCAGGUGUAGCGGUGAAAUGCGUAGAUAUCGGAAGGAACAUCAGUGGCGAAAGCGGCUUCCUGGACCAGCACCGACGUUCAGGCACGAAAGCGUGGGGAGCAAACAGG